ACGAACGCUGGCGGCGUGCCUAACACCUGCAAGUCGCACGAGACCAUCGGGUCUAGUGGCGCACGGGUGCGUCACGCGUGGGAACCUGACCUUAGGUUCGGAAUAACUCCCCGAAAGGGGUGAUAAUACCGGAUAAUGUCUUCGGACCAAAGAUUUAUCGACUUUGGAUGGGCCCGCGUUGGAUUAGCUAGUUGGUAGGGUAAAAGCCUACCAAGGCGACGAUCCAUAGCUGGUCUGAGAGGAUGAUCAGCCACACUGGGACUGAGACACGGCCCAGACUCCUACGGGAAGCAGCAGUGGGUAAUAUUGGACAAUGGGCGAAAGCCUGAUCCAGCAAUGCCGCGUGAGUGAUGAAGGCCUUAGGGUUGUAAAGCUCUUUUACCCGGGAUGAUAAUGACAGUACCGAGAGAAUAAGCUCCGGCUAACUCCGUG
rnacentral:rRNA from 1 species